GCCCGGUUAGCUCAAUCGGUAGAGCGUGAGACUCUUAAGGAUUCUCCGUAAAUCUCAAGGUUGCGGGUUCGACCCCCGCAUCGGGCU
rfam:Chaetomium thermophilum var. thermophilum DSM 1495 unplaced genomic scaffold scf7180000011819, whole genome shotgun sequence.